GGUACGAGCUGGACUAUCCCACUCACAUCACCUUAUCACUUUUCCAGCCUCGCUUCACUCUAAUGUGCUGGACGGAGAACUGAUAAGGGCAUGUGUUUGGGCCGAGCUUCGAGUUGAUUU
rnacentral:pre_miRNA from 17 species